CCUACGGGUGGCAGCAGUGGGGAAUAUUGCACAAUGGGGGAAACCCUGAUGCAGCGACGCCGCGUGAGUGAAGAAGCGUUUCGGCGCGUAAAGCUCUGUCAGCGGGGAAGAAACACGGUUCGCGAGAGCCGCGGACGGUACCCGACCAAGAAGCCCCGGCGAACUACGUGCCAGCAGCAGCGGUAAUACGUCGGGGGCAAGCGGUAUCCGGAUUCACUGGGUGUAAAGGGAACGUAGUGGGCGAGACACGUAUGGGGGGAAAGGCAGGGGCCCAACCCCGGGACUGCUCUGGAAACGGCCGGGCUGGAGUACGGGAGAGGUAAGUGGAAUGCCUGGUGUAGCGGUGAAAUGCGUAGAUAUUAGGAGGAACACCAGUGGCGAAGGCGGCUUACUGGACUGUAACUGACGUUGAGGCUCGAAAGCGUGGGGAGCAAACAGGAUUAGAUACCCCAUAGUC
rnacentral:rRNA from 1 species